rnacentral:rRNA from 1 species
GAACUCUGAGUGCCCGUCAAAUCGGGCUGUCCAUCAGUUUAAAUAGCUGGUGAAGAAAGGGCCGGGCAAGACCGGUGCCAGCCGCCGCGGUAAUACCGGCGGCUCGAKUGGUGGCCACUAUUACUGGGCUUAAAGCGUUCGUACCUGGCUUGUUAAGUCUCUGGGGAAAUCUUCCGGCUCAACCGGAAGGCGUCUCAGGGAUACUGRCNGGCUAGGGACCGACAGAGGURAGAGGUACUCCAUSGGUAGGA